UUUAAGGUAACCAGAAUUUAUUCUUACAUCCUCUUGCUCAUCUCACUCGCUCUCAUGCACACCCACCCACACACAUACCCCUAGUUUCCUGUGAGAAUCAUUAGGCAGGCAUGAUAGGAUAUUCUUUCUCGUUAUCUUGAUAGCACCCCCAGAAAAGUCUUGGAAGCCAAUUUUGCUGGAGCUUGAGAAGACUUUUUGCCACUUGCUGCUGAAAACAUGUUGUGUGUGAUGCAAAACAUCAUUUAAGGACUUCCUUUAAAUAAUUAGGCAACGUAUGCUUUUAUGUGUCUUAUAUAGCGUAGGGCAUCAUGUGGUAAUGUUCUAAAAGCCAGGAGAGGUCUGAAAUGGAUAUCCCAAGUAAAUGUGGCAGUGGUUUCUACUUAGGGCCGUUGUUCGUUCACAUCUGUUCUUAUUGAUAGCUUAAUUAGUGUGCGCUUUUAUAAUCCAGUACUGCACUUUUAUUAGGAGAGAAGAACAAAUUGCUCGCUCAUGUGAUCUCCUUCAGAAGAGCAAGGCAUCUUUUGUUGCAAUGCUGCUGUUCGUUUGAUCUGCCUUUACUAGUUUUUAGGAAGUGUCUUUCUUGCUUCUCUUAAUUGGAGCGGGAAAGCAGCUAUUCAUCAGUGUGUUUGCAACUGGAGUAAAUGAUAACAAGUUCAAUAAACUAGUUUUAUGGUCUUUAUUGUCUGCACAACAACCCCGCCAGCUUUUCCCGUGCUUAUUUAGCAUUAUGUUCGUUCAUCAAAGAAUCAGCUGAAUUAAUGGAAAAUUAUUUGUAGCAUCUGGAAAUUUUUACACACACUUUCCUUCAGGCAUAGCUCUGGUGUCAUCAUUGCUAUCGUAUGUCAACUUCAGCUAUUUCGUUAGUGCUGCAAAUUAAAUGUAUAAAAACAUGCUUUUUUCCCCAACGUGGAUUGAAAAAGUAUUUUGUGAAUCUGAAGUCUUUUCACCAAGAUAAAGUAAAAAGUCUGAUCAAUGCAGUUGUUUAGUAGCUGAAGUUCCUCUACGCACAGAGUGUAGUAUGAACAGCUGAGAGGUAACCUUGUCAGCUGUCCCUGGCGAUGCUGUCACUGUUUGUAAAUCUUUCACGAUUAAACUGAAAGAGUCCAUUCCGCUGCUCUCUUUUAACCAACAUAAGGUCAUUUCCACUUGCCCUGGGGAAAGGGCCGUUUAAUUACUGGCCUGGAUGCUCUGGACAGGCAUCCCAAGGUGUUUUGUGUGUCUGCUUGUGUGGAUCUGGCAGAGGGAGGGGAGUACCCAUACUCUGUCACAUGCCUGGUGCAUCUACUCCAGCUUUCAAGGUUAAGAAUGAGGCUUGUCAGAACUUUUGGCUCCUUUUACCAUAUUCACAAAUCUGUGUUGCUUUUACGAGCUGGCGAUGCCUUCAGGGCUCUGAAGAAGUAAGGAGGAAGUACUGUGGAAGGCUGCACUCCUGAUCAUCACUAACUGGAACUGUGUGGUGACAGCCUUCCAGGCAGGUGCUUUAGGUGAGUUGAAGAGUGCUGGUUGAGAUAGCUGCUGUGGUACUGUUUGGGUCAUGAGAAUUAUUCGCUCUUUCAUUUCAGGUUCUGCCACUGACUUGCUCUAUGUUGGGCACCUUUCUCAGCAUCUCAGAUGAUCUGUUAGCAUCAUGGAUAUAAACCUGUGUGUACUUGUUCACCAAACACCCUAGUGCUACCGUCUUGUUGAAUGCAAAUGGUUUGCUCAUGGAUUCUUUCUGGUUUUGGCCAUGUGACAUACUGUAGCCAAGUAGGUGAAUGAUGGAAUUGGCAUUUGUCUUUGCCCUUGGGCCCAUUCCCUUCAUGAAUUUUCAAGAUAAUUGAUCAAGAAGGCCUCUAGCAUACCGUGAUGAAUACCUUCCUUUGAAUGCCUUGCAGAGUGUGCAUAAUGUGUUCCACUGCAAGUAUCCAGGGGUUGUCUACGAACACGUUGUGCUGCCUUAAAUGUACAAUUACAUUAUUAAGUAUAAUACCAUCUAUUAUUAUGGUAUUAUAAUAGUCAUGCAGUUAGUGUAAUGUUAUUUUGUGGUUAUUUCUGUCUAGAAAUAAACUAUGCUGAUAUAAACAGUUUCAUAAUACUAAAACUGUUGCAGUUGAAAGAAGACCUUUUGUUACCAGACUCUAUUUGCAAACCAAGUCCUACUUUUAAUAUACGGGCUUCCUGAAUUCUCUUUAAAACGUGUUAUAAGUCCUUAAAAAUACUUCUAUUCAUUACCUUGCUUUUUGAUGAGAACGAAAACGUUUCAGCAUUUCAGGGGAAACAAUUUUCGGUAGCCAAACCUUUCCCUGUUGACACAGUGGAAGGGUGGCACUUUCAAAUGAAUAGCUCUCAGAACAUUUUGACAAGAUGAUAAAAGAUACUGUCUGUGGGCUUAACUCGGCUGUAUUUAGUGUUUGUAUUAUUCUCUAUGUGAACACACGCACAUUUCCUGAAGGGUUUCUAAAUCCAGUCACCAAGUAUCACAAAACGUCCUGUCAGAACAUGUAAAGCAGAGGGAAGGAGUAAGCUGUUGUACCGUUUCUGCUGCACGUUGCCUGUCUUUGAUCAUUCCCAUGCACAGCUUGUGGCGUGCUGUGAGAUGGGUUUUCUUUCUGCAUCUUGUCCAGAUCACUUGUUUAACUGCAUCAGUUGGUCUCUUUCUUCAGCAGUUACAAGCUGGAACUGGAGUGCUUUACUUAAAGCAGAAGCUUAAAAAUCCAGCACUCCAGUUCAUCUACAGUUAAGGCUUUAAACCUAGAAGCAGUAUCUUUGUUUGCCGAGGGCAUGGGUAAACAGUUGAGGGAAAGGGGUGAUCCCACGUGCUGAACCGAGACAUUUGAAAAUAAUGUGGAGGAACAGAACAAGCUCCUCCGUAAUGCAAAUUCUCCUGUUAAUUUGUGGAGCCCGGGCCUAUGUUUGACUAGUCAGGUCUGCUACAGCACCUUCGGACUGCAGACAUUGGUAUUUUAUAAUGAUUUAGCAAAGCUAAAGCUCAUAGCUUACUGCAUGUGACAGAAUAUGUGAUCGUGGGGAAUCUUGAAACAAAAUUUUUGGUUCACUUUUUUAGUGAUUAUUGAGCCACACCCCAACAGAGAGACAGUAGCAGAGAGGUCUGACUCGCUACUCCUAACAAAGAGUAUGCCAUGUUUGCCUGGGUGUUUAAAGUUACACCUCAUGGUUGUUGUGUAUAUCCUUGGCUUUGUUAUGUUUUGUUUUCCUUUCCAGGAAGGAUUUGUUACGUCUUUGGUGUGAUCUCCUUGUGCAGAGAUAUGGCAUUUAAAAACAAUGAUUGAAUUAAGGUUGUUUCUGUUGGCAUAGCUCUUUUUUCCUUGUUUUUCAGCAUGCUUUUCUGGGACAUGUGUUUGGAGGGGGCUGCAAACCCCUGAACAGGACGUAGAUGGCAAAUCCUGUGCUGAUUUCAUUAGGAUUAGGAUCUUAGUGCUGCUCUCUAAAUCAGAGUUACUAUUUGGGCUUCUUCCUUUUUUUCUGAAAAGCAAUUACCACUAAUACCUUUGCUUUGUGUAGCUUCUGCUGCAUUUUUUUUUCCUUCAAUAGCUCACAGAGUAAGAAUUGCUUGGUAGGUCCCUGUGGAUUUUGGAUUGAUUUGCUGUGCAUUGGCACGGCUGCUCUUAAAGGUUUAUACCUUCCGCCAGAUGCUUGUUCUUCACCUCUCAGUUAUGCUUAUGCAGUUGUGAAUUGAACCAUUGAAAAAGACAGUGGAAUCUGCAUUUUGGUUAAAUCAGAUUGUUUUGCAGGUCUGGUUUAUUAUGGCAUCAGUACAGCUAUGAGAUGGUGAAACCAGAGCAAGGGUGUGGAUUGAGAAGUAUUGUUUAAACAAGGCUUAUAAGUGGAGAAAUUUUUAAUGGAACUCUACCUCUGUUGAGAGAACUGUGGAAGCUUUACUCAGGGGGUUGGUUCUUUUCCUUCCGUAAAAAUAGGUGAAAGGAUGCAGUUUUAUUCUUUAUCAAUAUUCUCCUGGCAGUCAGUUUCUGAAGUUUUGAAUUACUUAUGUUCAAUUAUGUUUUGACAAAAUGAGUUGUUUUUUCUUGGCUUAGCAAUACUGGAAGCUCAGGGGUUUUAUUAAGCUAACAAAGAAUGUGACCUGUGCAGUGUAAGCAGGAAGAUCAUCUUCUGUUGAGGAUUCUUCUGCCUUUUGUUGAUUUCAUAGCAUGCAUAAAAUGAGGAGAUUGGAGAUGAGUAACUCUGGCAUGUUACUCACAGUCACGUUCCAUCUCAGUCGAGAGUUGGUAAUAUGUUGCGUACAUACUGCAUGUUGGGUUUGUGUGUUGUUCUGCUGGACGUAUUGCUUACCGAAUGGAUAUGACUGCGAAGGAUUCAUUACCUGCUGAAGAUGAGAAGGCACAUAUGCAGCAAAGUCCUAACAACGGUUUUACUGGGAAGGAAACAGCAUAUCAGUUAUGUCUUCACAUGGCUUACCUUUCCUAUUUGAAGAGGCUUGCACACUAGCUGCUGGCUCAAAUAUAUUCCUGAUCCCGACGUUGCAGUGAAACUGUUGAUCUGAAAUGCAAAGAAACUGGGAAUAAACACAGAGCCCUCUUUCCAAAAGCCUUGUCAAAUCUGGCACAGAUGCACCCCUGUGCCUUGCAUAUCGUGAGUGACAGCGCAGCACAUUAGCUGAAACCCAGCAUCUUGAGAAAGUUUAAGGGCUUAGAUGUUGUGUUGUGGCAUGCGUGUAAGUUUGCCUCUGCUGUAAGGCCAGGAGCAUCCAGCCUGGGGAUAAAGCAGAUGCAGUACUGCCUUUCAAAGCUGGGUUUGAUGGAGGUGGUGAGUUGUAAUCGUAUUUAAUUUGAACUUAGACUUUCACCUUCAAAUCUUGUCAUUUGAUUAAUAUAGCAUAUUUUAAUUCAGAAAAUGAGCACGCAUGCAGAAAUAAAAAUCCUAUCAUGCACUUAUAUUUGAAGUUUCACUUCAUAACAUUUUUCUCUUCUGGAGGGAAUGAAAUAAAAACAAUUUAUUCACUAGAGUUUAAAACUAAAUGUGUGAAGUCAGUUUGAAGCAGGGAGACUAGGGGAAAAGUUUCCUGUCAUAGUCAUGCAGCUAAUUGUUGUUGAACACAUUGUAUUUCCAUCUAAGACCAUUCAUUGUAUCUGGAAUUUGAGAUGACUUGGUUAUCUGUCUGAGCAUUGCUUAAAAGCUGUGAAAUUGGAAUAAAAAGUGAAUAUGCAA